CAGCAGCCGCGGGAAUACGAAGGGGGCUAGCGUUGCUCGGAAUUACUGGGCGUAAAGGGCGCGUAGGCGGACAGUUUAGUCGGGGGUGAAAGCCCGGGGCUCAACCUCGGAAUUGCCUUCGAUACUGGCUGUCUUGAGUGUGAGAGAGGUGUGUGGAACUCCGAGUGUAGAGGUGAAAUUCAUAGAUAUUCGGAAGAACACCAGUGGCGAAGGCGACACACUGGCUCACUACUGACGCUGAGGCGCGAAAGCGUGGGGAGCAAACAGGAUUAGAUACCCCUGUAGUCCCUGUCUCUUAUAC
rnacentral:rRNA from 1 species